UCAUACCAUCAUACCGAUGAUUAUAGAAGAGAAUCUAAGGUCAGCUAUAUACUGUUGCACUUAUUCGAUAGGAGUGUUCACGGGCAGCUCAGUCAUGCUGUACGUGUGGUUUAUGUCAAACUUGAGAGUGAUUAGCACUUUUAGACGGCAUGGGUAUUGGUUCACCCAUGAUAUACCCAUGUCGUAAUCCUUUCAGUCAUCGGAGUGUAUAGAUACUAUGUCUUGG
rnacentral:lncRNA from 1 species